UACGGAGGGUGCAAGCGUUAUCCGGAUUCACUGGGUUUAAAGGGUGCGUAGGUGGGCUUGUAAGUCAGUGGUGAAAUCUCCGUGCUUAACAUGGAAACUGCCAUUGAUACUAUAGGUCUUGAAUUUUCCGGAGGUUCAGCGGAAUAUGUCAUGUAGCGGUGAAAUGCUUAGAUAUGACAUAGAACACCGAUUGCGAAGGCAGCUGACUACAGGGAUAUUGACACUGAGGCACGAAAGCGUGGGGAUCAAACAGG
rnacentral:rRNA from 1 species